GUGAGGAAUAUUGCGCAAUGGAGGCAACUCUGACGCAGCCAUGCCGCGUGCAGGAAGAAGGCGCUACGCGUUGUAAACUGCUUUUAACCGGGAAGAAACCCCAGGACGUGUCCUGGGUUGACGGUACCGGAGGAAUAAGCACCGGCUAACUUCGUGCCAGCAGCCGCGGUAAUACGAAGGGUGCAAGCGUUAUCCGGAUUCAUUGGGUUUAAAGGGUGCGGAGGCGGAGCGUUAAGUCAGUGGUGAAAUCCUGCAGCUUAACUGUAGACUUGCCAUUGAUACUGGCGCUCUUGAGUGCGCUUGAAGUGGGCGGAAUGUGCCGUGUAGCGGUGAAAUGCUUAGAUAUGGCACAGAACACCAAUUGCGAAGGCAGCUCACUAAGGCGAUACUGACGCUGAGGCACGAAAGCGUGGGGAUCGAACAGGAUUAGAUACCCGUGUAGUCC
rnacentral:rRNA from 1 species